UCUACAGGUCUGGGAAGUAUGACCUGGACUUCAAGUCUCCUGAUGACCCCAGCAGGUACAUCUCACCUGACCAGCUGGCCGACCUGUACAAGUCCUUCAUCAAGGACUACCCAGUGGUGUCUAUCGAAGAUCCGUUUGACCAGGAUGACUGGGGAGCAUGGCAGAAGUUCACAGCCAGUGCAGGAAUCCAGGUGGUUGGGGAUGAU